CCAGCCGCCGCGGUAAUACAGAGGGUGCGAGCGUUAAUCGGAAUUACUGGGUGUAAAGGGCGCGUAGGCGGUAAGAUGUGUGUGGUGUGAAAGCCCCGGGCUUAACCUGGGAAGUGCAUCGCAAACUAUCUAACUAGAGUAUAUGAGAGGGUGGCGGAAUUUCCGGUGUAGCGGUGAAAUGCGUAGAGAUCGGAAGGAACGUCAAUGGCGAAGGCAGCCACCUGGCAUAAUACUGACGCUGAGGCGCGAAAGCGUGGGGAGCGAACAGGAUUAGAUACCCUGGUAGUCCACGCUGUAAACGAUGAGUACUAGAUGUUGGUAGGGGAACCUAUCAGUAUCGAAGCUAACGCGAUAAGUAUUCCACCUGGGAAGUACGGCCGCAAGGUUGAAACUCAAAUGAAUUGACGGGGGCCCGCACAAGC
rnacentral:rRNA from 1 species